rnacentral:rRNA from 1 species
UACGUAGGGGGCAAGCGUUGUCCGGAAUUAUUGGGCGUAAAGCGCGCGCAGGCGGUCGAUUAAGUCUGGUGUCUAAGCUCAAGGCUCAACCUUGGGACGCAUUGGAAACUGGUCGACUGGAGUGUAGGAGAGGAAAGUGGAAUUCCACGUGUAGCGGUGAAAUGCGUAGAGAUGUGGAGGAACACCAGUGGCGAAGGCGACUUCUGGCCUAUAACUGACGCUGAGGCGCGAAAGCGUGGGAGCAAACAGG